rnacentral:rRNA from 1 species
CCUACGGGAGGCAGCAGUAGGGAAUCUUCCGCAAUGGACGAAAGUCUGACGGAGCAACGCCGCGUGAGCGGUGAAGGCCUUCGGGUCGUAAAGCUCUGUUGUUAGGGAAGAACAAGUACCGGAGUAACUGCCGGUACCUUGACGGUACCUAACCAGAAAGCCACGGCUAACUACGUGCCAGCAGCCGCGGUAAUACGUAGGUGGCAAGCGUUGUCCGGAAUUAUUGGGCGUAAAGCGCGCGCAGGCGGUCCUUUAAGUCUGAUGUGAAAGCCCACGGCUCAACCGUGGAGGGUCAUUGGAAACUGGGGGACUUGAGUGCAGAAGAGGAAAGCGGAAUUCCACGUGUAGCGGUGAAAUGCGUAGAGAUGUGGAGGAACACCAGUGGCGAAGGCGGCUUUCUGGUCUGUAACUGACGCUGAGGCGCGAAAGCGUGGGGAGCAAACAGGAUUAGAUACCCUGGUAGUCCACGCCGUAAACGAUGAGUGCUAAGUGUUAGAGGGUUUCCGCCCUUUAGUGCUGCAGCUAACGCAUUAAGCACUCCGCCUGGGGAGUACGGCCGCAAGGCUGAAACUCAAAGGAAUUGACGA